GACGAGGGAUCCUAGCGUUGUUCGGAAUUAUUGGGCGUAAAGCGGGUGUAGGCGGACUUAUAAGUCAGGUGUGAAAUCCCAGGGCUCAACCCUGGAAGUGCACUUGGUACUGUAAGUCUUGAAUGUGGUAGAGGUUACUAGAAUUCCUGGUGUAGUGGUGAAAUACGUAGAUAUCAGGAGGAAUACCGGAGGCGAAGGCGGGUAACUGGGCCAACAUUGACGCUGAGAUCCGAAAGCGUGGGGAUCAAACAGG
rnacentral:rRNA from 1 species